rnacentral:rRNA from 1 species
UACGUAGGGGGCAAGCGUUGUCCGGAAUCAUUGGGCGUAAAGAGCGUGUAGGCGGCCCGGUAAGUCCGCUGUGAAAGUCCAGGGCUCAACCCUGGGAUGCCGGUGGAUACUGUCGGGCUCGAGUCCGGAAGAGGAGUGUGGAAUUCCUGGUGUAGCGGUGAAAUGCGUAGAUAUCGGAAGGAACAUCAGUGGCGAAAGCGACUUCCUGGACCAAUACUGACGCUCAUGUGCGAAAGCGUGGGGAGCAAACAGG